UGCAAGUCGAGCGGUAGCACAGGGGAGCUUGCUCCCUGGGUGACGAGCGUUUUGACGGGUGAGUAAUGUCUGGGAAACUGCCUGAUGGAGGGGGAUAACUACUGGAAACGGUAGCUAAUACCGCAUAACGUCGCAAGACCAAAGAGGGGGACCUUCGGGCCUCUUGCCAUCAGAUGUGCCCAGAUGGGAUUAGCUAGUAGGUGGGGUAAUGGCUCACCUAGGCGACGAUCCCUAGCUGGUCUGAGAGGAUGACCAGCCACACUGGAACUGAGACACGGUCCAGACUCCUACGGGAGGCAGCAGUGGGGAAUAUUGCACAAUGGGCGCAAGCCUGAUGCAGCCAUGCCGCGUGUGUGAAGAAGGCCUUCGGGUUGUAAAGCACUUUCAGCGAGGAGGAAGGUGGUGAGCUUAAUACGCUCAUCAAUUGACGUUACUCGCAGAAGAAGCACCGGCUAACUCCGUGCCAGCAGCCGCGGUAAUACGGAGGGUGCAAGCGUUAAUCGGAAUUACUGGGCGUAAAGCGCACGCAGGCGGUUUGUUAAGUCAGAUGUGAAAUCCCCGGGCUCAACCUGGGAACUGCAUUUGAAACUGGCAAGCUAGAGUCUCGUAGAGGGGGGUAGAAUUCCAGGUGUAGCGGUGAAAUGCGUAGAGAUCUGGAGGAAUACCGGUGGCGAAGGCGGC
rnacentral:rRNA from 1 species